UCAGAAAUUUUAAAUGUUUUCUUGCGUUUCGCGUCUUGUUUAUGUGUCAUGUCAAGUUCGAAGGUUUCAUAUUAAAAACGAAAGUAGAGUCGGUCACAACAUGUGUUACGGGCCGGGGAAACGUUCAGUCUGCCUGGGUUAUAUAUAGGUAGAUUCAUUGGUUUCGGAUCAGAAAUUAUCAAUGUUCAUGGAUUCUCAGAACACAGCAGAGAGAAGUUUAUGUUAUGAACAUUUCUUAUCAACAAACCCUGUAAGAAGAAGGACGUCUGUUCUACAGUUUGUGGUGGAUCAUAGAACACAUGAUAUCAACCAAGUUUAAAGGAAGCAUGUAUAGCCACAAUAGAAAAAUUUAAGGAUUGUGAGAAACCAAAUAUGACAAAUCAGAAUAAAUUCCAUGGGAGUGUGGAAAAAAAGAAUAGUAGAGUGUAAUCCUCAGGACUUUUUUCAGACUUCCAUUAAGUCAGGAAAUACUGUUGAACUGACAAAAUUAACAAAAAUCAUGAUUCUCAAAAAUUCAAGGAAGAUGUGCGAGUUAAGAUGAAGACGGAUUUUAGGAGUUUUGAUGACAAAGAAUCAACCAUUGGAAAUAUGGCUCUUUGAACUUGGAUCUCAUUAUUGAUGCAUGCAUGAUGGUGGGCUGAAGAAGAAAACCAGGACAAAAGAAAAUUCCUAGUGUUCAUCAGAAAAAAUAAUCUUGCAGCCAUUUUGAGUGCUUGAAUGUCCAACUGAGAGAGCCAGCCAGUUCGAAAAAUAUUUCUUGGAAGUUAAACAAAUUCUGCUGUGACAAUUGAAGUACAUUUAAAAACAUUCUGAUUCAUCUAUAAGUGAGACUAGAUUGCCUUUGACAGUUGCCAGUGGAAUUCAGAUCUUCUAAAUUGUACCAGUAUUAAUAAAUUGAAGUGAAUUGCCUUAAAAAUAACAUUUGUAUAUGGUGUACAUUACUUUAAGAAGAUAUAGCACACCUGUUUAAACAGUGAGGUCCAUAGCUAAACAUGGAUAUGGAAUUUAGCUCACCUGAUCCAAAGGCUCAAUUGCACAAUUCUGAUAAAAAGAAGUCUCUGGUAUCCAACAAUGCAACAUUUAUGUUUGACUGUUUGUCCUCCAUUAACUUUUAACAUUUUCUUUUUUU